rnacentral:rRNA from 1 species
GUUAAGUGGGAAACGAUGUGGGAAGGCCCAGACAGCCAGGAUGUUGGCUUAGAAGCAGCCAUCAUUUAAAGAAAGCGUAAUAGCUCACUGGUCGAGUCGGCCUGCGCGGAAGAUGUAACGGGGCUAAACCAUGCACCGAAGCUGCGGCAGCGACACUGUGUGUUGUUGGGUAGGGGAGCGUUCUGUAAGCCUGUGAAGGUGUGUCGUGAGGCAUGCUGGAGGUAUCAGAAGUGCGAAUGCUGACAUAAGUAACGAUAAAGCGGGUGAAAAGCCCGCUCGCCGGAAGACCAAGGGUUCCUGUCCAACGUUAAUCGGGGCAGGGUGAGUCGACCCCUAAGGCGAGGCCGAAAGGCGUAGUCGAUGGGAAACGGGUUAAUAUUCCCGUACUUGGUGUUACUGCGAAGGGGGGACGGAGAAGGCUAUGUUGGCCGGGCGACGGUUGUCCCGGUUUAAGCGUGUAGGUGUGUGUUCCAGGUAAAUCCGGUUCACUUUAACACUGAGGCGUGACGACGAGGCACUACGGUGCUGAAGCAACAAAUGCCCUGCUUCCAGGAAAAGCCUCUAAGCAUCAGGUAACAUCAAAUCGUACCCCAAACCGACACAGGUGGUCAGGUAGAGAAUACCAAGGCGCUUGAGAGAACUCGGGUGAAGGAACUAGGCAAAAUGGUGCCGUAACUUCGGGAGAAGGCACGCUGACACGUAGGUGAAGUGAUUUACUCAUGGAGCUGAAGUCAGUCGAAGAUACCAGCUGGCUGCAACUGUUUAUUAAAAACACAGCACUGUGCAAACACGAAAGUGGACGUAUACGGUGUGACGCCUGCCCGGUGCCGGAAGGUUAAUUGAUGGGGUCAGCGCAAGCGAAGCUCCUGAUCGAAGCCCCGGUAAACGGCGGCCGUAACUAUAACGGUCCUAAGGUAGCGAAAUUCCUUGUCGGGUAAGUUCCGACCUGCACGAAUGGCGUAAUGAUGGCCAGGCUGUCUCCACCCGAGACUCAGUGAAAUUGAACUCGCUGUGAAGAUGCAGUGUACCCGCGGCAAGACGGAAAGACCCCGUGAACCUUUACUAUAGCUUGACACUGAACAUUGAGCCUUGAUGUGUAGGAUAGGUGGGAGGCUUUGAAGUGUGGACGCCAGUCUGCAUGGAGCCGACCUUGAAAUACCACCCUUUAAUGUUUGAUGUUCUAACGUGGACCCGUAAUCCGGGUUGCGGACAGUGUCUGGUGGGUAGUUUGACUGGGGCGGUCUCCUCCUAAAGAGUAACGGAGGAGCACGAAGGUUGGCUAAUCCUGGUCGGACAUCAGGAGGUUAGUGCAAUGGCAUAAGCCAGCUUGACUGCGAGCGUGACGGCGCGAGCAGGUGCGAAAGCAGGUCAUAGUGAUCCGGUGGUUCUGAAUGGAAGGGCCAUCGCUCAACGGAUAAAAGGUACUCCGGGGAUAACAGGCUGAUACCGCCCAAGAGUUCAUAUCGACGGCGGUGUUUGGCACCUCGAUGUCGGCUCAUCACAUCCUGGGGCUGAAGUAGGUCCCAAGGGUAUGGCUGUUCGCCAUUUAAAGUGGUACGCGAGCUGGGUUUAGAACGUCGUGAGACAGUUCGGUCCCUAUCUGCCGUGGGCGCUGGAGAACUGAGGGGGGCUGCUCCUAGUACGAGAGGACCGGAGUGGACGCAUCACUGGUGUUCGGGUUGUCAUGCCAAUGGCACUGCCCGGUAGCUAAAUGCGGAAGAGAUAAGUGCUGAAAGCAUCUAAGCACGAAACUUGCCCCGAGAUGAGUUCUCCCUGAGACUUAGAGUCUCCUGAAGGAACGUUGAAGACGACGACGUUGAUAGGCCGGGUGUGUAAGCGCAGCGAUGCGUUGAGCUAACCGGUACUAAUGAACCGUGAGGCUUAACCUUACAACGCCGAAG